rnacentral:rRNA from 1 species
GGAAACGACUGCUAAGACUGGAUAGGAGACAAGAAGGCAUCUUUUUGUUUUUAAAAGACCUAGCAAUAGGUAUGCUUAGGGAGGAGCUUGCGUCACAUUAGUUAGUUGGUGGGGUAAAGGCCUACCAAGACUAUGAUGUGUAGCCGGGCUGAGAGGUUGAACGGCCACAUUGGGACUGAGACACGGCCCAAACUCCUACGGGAGGCAGCAGUAGGGAAUUUUCGGCAAUGGAGGAAACUCUGACCGAGCAACGCCGCGUGAACGAUGAAGUAUUUCGGUACGUAAAGUUCUUUUAUUAGGGAAGAAUAAAUGAUGGAAAAAUCAUUCUGACGGUACCUAAUGAAUAAGCCCCGGCUAACUAUGUGCCAGCAGCCGCGGUAAUACAUAGGGGGCAAGCGUUAUCCGGAAUUAUUGGGCGUAAAGGGUGCGUAGGCGGUUAAAUAAGUUUAUGGUCUAAGUGCAAUGCUUAACAUUGUGAUGCUAUAAAAACUGUUUAGCUAGAGUAAGAUAGAGGCAAGUGGAAUUCCAUGUGUAGUGGUAAAAUGCGUAAAUAUAUGGAGGAACACCAGUAGCGAAGGCGGCUUGCUGGGUCUUUACUGACGCUGAGGCACGAAAGCGUGGGGAGCAAACAGGAUUAGAUACCCUGGUAGUCCACGCCGUAAACGAUGAGUACUAAAUGUUGGGUAAAACCAGUGUUGAAGUUAACACAUUAAGUACUCCGCCUGAGUAGUACGUACGCAAGUAUGAAACUUAAAGGAAUUGACGGGACUCCGCACAAGCGGUGGAUCAUGUUGUUUAAUUCGAAGGUACCCGAAAAACCUCACCAGGUCUUGACAUGCUUCUGCAAAGCUGUAGAAACACAGUGGAGGUUAUCAGUUGCACAGGUGGUGCAUGGUUGUCGUCAGCUCGUGUCGUGAGAUGUUGGGUUAAGUCCCGCAACGAGCGCAACCCUUAUUGUUAGUUGCCAGCACGUAAUGGUGGGGACUUUAGCAAGACUGCCAGUGAUAAAUUGGAGGAAGGUGGGGACGACGUCAAAUCAUCAUGCCCCUUAUGACCUGGGCUACAAACGUGAUACAAUGGCUGUUACAAAGGGUAGCUGAAACGCAAGUUUUUGGCGAAUCUCAAAAAAACAGUCUCAGUUCGGAUUGAAGUCUGCAACUCGACUUCAUGAAGUUGGAAUCGCUAGUAAUCGCGAAUCAGCAUGUCGCGGUGAAUACGUUCUCGGGGUUUGUACACACCGCCCGUCA